rnacentral:rRNA from 4 species
GGUUAAGCGACUAAGCGUACACGGUGGAUGCCCUGGCAGUCAGAGGCGAUGAAGGACGUGCUAAUCUGCGAAAAGCGCCGGCGAGGUGAUAUGAACCCUUGA